rnacentral:rRNA from 1 species
UGCGUAGGCGGUUGAUUAAGUCUGCUGUGAAAGCCCCGGGCUCAACCUGGGAACUGCAGUGGAUACUGGUCAGCUAGAGUGUGUCAGAGGAUGGUGGAAUUCCCGGUGUAGCGGUGAAAUGCGUAGAGAUCGGGAGGAACAUCAGUGGCGAAGGCGGCCAUCUGGGACAACACUGACGCUGAGGCACGAAAGCGUGGGGAGCAAACG